rnacentral:misc_RNA from 1 species
GAUGAAGAACGUAGCGAAAUGCGAUAAGUAAUGUGAAUUGCAGAAUUCAGUGAAUCAUCGAAUCUUUGAACGCACCUUGCGCCCUUUGGCAUUCCGAAGGGCAUGCCUGUUUGAUUAUCAUGAACACCUCAACUCUUCAUGGUUUUCCAUGAUGAGCUUGGACUUUGGGGGUCUUGCUGGCCUGCGGUCGGCUCCUCUCAAAUGAAUCAGCUUACCAGUGUUUGGUGGGCAUCACAGGUGUGAUAACUAUCUGCGCUUGUGGUUUUCCACCAAGUAACCUUCAGCAGUGGAGGUUCACUGGAGCUCACAGACGUCUCUCCUCAGUGAGGACAGCCCUUUGAAUGUUUGAUCUCAAAUCAGGUAGGACUACCCGCUGAACUUAAGCAUAUCAAUAAGCGGAGGA